GAAAUAUCUUUAAUUUUGUUGGUAAUUAAAAACUGAUUAGGGAGUUCUCGUUUGCCUCUCAGCGAAGGCAGUCGCACUUUUUCUCCUCUCCUCUCCCUUAUCUUUCCUGCUUAGCUCCUCAUGUCCUUGUCUUGUCUCGUGUUUUUUAUUACUUUUCCCUGGAACAUUCUUUCACAGUCUGUUCUCUAAAACCUAAAGGAGGAAUUAUGGAUUGGAUCAACUGGUCCCUAAAUGCAAUUGACACCCCUUUCUCAAAGAGAAGUCUGGCUUGGGUGAGCCUGAGUGCUGAAGAUAUCUACCUAUUUGGAACCAUGGUAACAGGGUUCUGGCGGAUCGGAGCUGGCUUGGCCCUGACUUAUCAAAGAAUUAAGAAAGCGGAACCGGCUGUUCAAACCCCCACAAAGCUGCCCGCUGGGAUUGGAACGAUGGGAGAGGCGUGAGUUUCUCAAACUGGGCUCACUGAGUGCAGCACGGAUAAGAUCUUGGAGAGGCUACGGCUGCUGUGAAUACUCAGAAUAAGAUCUCUGACUGCAGACUGGAUACAUCUCGGAAGGGCUAGCUCGGAAUAAGAUCUCUGGGCGCAAAUCGGAUGACAUCUUGGGGAGGCACACUGCCGUGGGUUCUCAGAAAUCGGCUCCUUGAGCACAAGAAAUGACAAUAUCACAGAACGCAAGUAUGCCGAAGCUCGCGGCUCUCCAACGGGAGAUUGAGAGACCAGUGUUGGACUGUAGAACUGCUUUGAAAUUCAUAUGAGCUGUUCGCACUAAAGUAAAAAGCACCAUCACUUCAUGCGGUCUCGAGGCUGGAGCCGAAAAACAACACCCUGAUAACGACUGUGUUUAGUCUGUUCCUUCCCAUUCCAUGCAAGGCCACCUGGGUUGGCUGGAAGACUGUUUACUUAGCCUAGCAGGGCGAAGGACACUGUCUCAGCUGAACUAUGGACACGCACACACAUACACUUACACUGAUAAGCACACACUCAUCCCCCUCCCCUUCCAAACGCCUUCGAUGCUUGUUUCCUGCGGGGGAACACGGAGGGUCUGUGUGCCGCGUUGGAAUGGUAGCGCUGUGCAGGGCGGCUGCUGUGUUCGCUUCGUAUUACUCCUCACCCCCCACCCAAUCCUGUGGCUUGUCAUGUCUUUCACAAAGUUGUGCUGUGGACAUUUAUGUGCUUUUUUGUGCAGAGGAGUUUUUUUUGUUUCCUGUUCUCAUGCUGUCCUACCAUGGAAGCACAGCAUAAGUAGAGGUCUCUUUUUUUCCUCUUGUACUUUCCCAUUGUAGUGUACAUUUCAGUGUUUUUCUGUAACGCUACCGAUCUCCGACUUGUAUCCCCAUGUAAUGUCUGUGUUGUGUGUGUAAGGUCGGGGGGGGGUCCCAUUUCACUUCAGGGCAACCUGCAUGUGGCGAAUAAAGCAUUGAUUGAUUGAUUGAGUCUCCAAACUUCGUUCUACAUAAUACCAUCAGACAACCGGUUCCACAAAAAAAAUUACAUAUGGCACCGUGGUUAUAC
ensembl:lncRNA